rnacentral:rRNA from 1 species
UACGUAGGAGGCAAGCGUUGUCCGGAGUUACUGGGCGUAAAGGGCCCGCAGGCGGUGGAGUAAGUUUGGAGUGACAGUUCCCAGCUUAACCGGGAAAGGACUUCGAAAACUGCUCGACUUGAGGACUGGAGAGGAAGGCGGAAUUCCGGGUGGAGCGGUGAAAUGCGUAGAGAUCCGGAGGAACACCGACGGCGAAGGCAGCCUUCUGGAAAGUACCUGACGCUGAGGGGCGAAAGCUAGGGGAGCAAACAGG